UUUUGGCGUCAGCGGCAGCGGCAGCGUCAGCGGCGGCGACAGCGUCAAUGAGGACAGUUGUUGUUCGUUUCGCAGACGCUGACGCUGCCGCAUAUCAUAUCGCGACCGCAGGUUUUAUCGGCGUCAGCCGCAGGACGCAGCGUUCGGACGCUGCCGCUGCCGCCGGUUCCUGCGUCAACGAAACGAACAAGAGUUGACGCAGAAUGUUGACGCUGCCGCUGCCGCCGAUACCUGCGGCAACCAAACGAACAGCCUUUACUUCUUUUGCGUGACGAAGGAUCGAUCAUUCGUGCCGUCGCUAACGAUCUGACCAAAAUUAAAGUUCUACUAUUCCGUCGCCUCUAUCCUCUCUCGAAGUGCUGCCAUGGUGCUUCUGCUCCUCCGGCGCGCUGCGAUCGCACGCACUUCUUCACUUCUCAGAGCUCGUCUUCUCACUCCUGCCUCCGGCUUCCACACUCGGUACGCUUUAUUCUCUUCCAUUCGUCUUCUCUCCAAGUUUCGGUGUUCCUCUUUUCCACUUGUGAUCCUUGCCAAUUCUAUUUCCAUGUUUUGUAAAAUAUUGGGGGAAUAAAUGUUUAUUCUUCUCUGAUUUUGUCUGUUUUACAUUAGGUCUGCCUCGAUAGACAUGAUUACAACUAUGAGUAAUAGUCCUCCAAAGUCCAUUCUCCGAUUUGGCUUUCAAAACUUCUCAUCAACAGGAUCCACACCACAGACGGUUCUUACAAUGCCAGCCUUGUCUCCUACAAUGAGUCAUGGUAAUAUUGCGAAAAAAAUUAACUAACAACUAACAAAAAAAAUUGGUUUUGGUUUACAAUUCUUCUCAUAGAUUUGUAUUUUCUUGAAUCCUGAGGUAUUUUUGUUUGCCAGUCCUCUGAAAAAUAAAUAAUUUCUUUACCAGCUGUCAAGAACUCAACUGGUGGGAUGACCAGGUCUACUACCACUCAUAACAUGAGUGGUAUACUGGAAUAUAACGUUAAUGUGAUUCAUAUCUAACUUGAUACAUAUAUCAUUUAUGCAUUGAGUUUGAUUUAUAAGAUAUACAUUUACGAAUCAAGUCACAUACCACUACCAAAACAGGUAAAAUAUACCAUUCAGUAUUCUAAAUAUAAUGUGAUGCAUAGUUGUAUAUAUGGUGAAUCAUGUUAGAAACAAAACAAAACAAAUAUGCGUAAAUGUAUAUCAUGUCUAUAAUAAGAAGUUUACGGAAUUUGUAAAAAUGUGAUAAUAAAUUGUAGAAAUUCAUAGCGAAAACUACCAUGGAUCCCAAAACCUUAAAUCUUACCAAAAAAAAAAGAAAAAAAAUUAAUAGCGAAAGUUUUACAUAAAAACCGUUUGACAUGAGUUUUCAUAAAAAUAUACUGGAUGUAGAAAUAUAUAUAACAUUUUUUGGGACAAACUGAAUGUAGAAUUAUUAGACUAGAAUUUCAUUAUCAAGUCGAAUUGUCAGUUGUGCGUGUCAUAAUUUAUAGUAAAACUAGUGUGGAAUUUUUUUUCCUUACUAAAAUAAACACAUUUACUUUCUUACUAAAAUAAACACAUUUAUUUUUGUUCUUACUAAAAUAAACACAAUUUGAUCGCCGGCUUUAACGUAUAAGUUUAACAUGUAUUAAAAUUAAAAUUUUGGGUUAAAAAUCAUGGAAGCAUAUGCUUCCGGCCUUGUAAAAGUUAUAUAUAAUUUCGGCCAACAAUAUCUAACUAG